rnacentral:lncRNA from 1 species
GGCCCGGAAGCAGUGAGGAGGACCUUGGCAGUGGGCCUUCCAAGUGAGGGGACCAUGAAGCCAAGACUCCCCUUUAUUCUAGGGACACUGGGCUGGCUCGGGGCCUGUGUCUUCCGGCCUGUGACCCAGGCUGCCUCACAGAUCUAGACCGGACUCUCCCAUGGAGCCCAGUUGCCAUCACCACCACACAGAGGGCCUUCGUCUGAAGGUAGAGCUAGUUGGGAGGCUCUCAGAGUCCUUAACCCACAAGAGAUGGGUCUGAGGUCUUCCAGCAUCUCUCCUGCCACUUUGUUUGAAGUGGGGGCUUGGACCCUUGUAAUCCUUACUCGUCUCCCCACCCUCUGUGCAGCCUCCUGAAGGGCAGAUCCUUCAGCAAUUCCCAGCAAUUUGGUCCUUAGUUUGCAUCCUUUCUAGGUGGUUUCUUUUCUUUUUUCUUAUUGAAAUAUAGUUAAUUUACAAGGUUGUGCUAAUUUCUGUUGUACAACAAAGUGACCCAGUCACACAUAUACACAUGUCUCUCUCAGAUUCUUUUCCCACAUAGAUGAUCACAGCACACUGGGUGGAGUGCCCUGUGCUCUACAGCAGGUUCCCGUUGGCCCAUCAUUCCGUCUACCUUAGUGUGCAUAUGCCAGCCCCCGACUCCCAGUCUACCCCCCCCACGCCCCCAUCUAGGUGGUUUUAUACAAUUCUCAUUUCCCGCAGCUACUCAGAGCUUCUCCAGCCUUCCGCUCCAGUCUUUGCCACCAUCCUUCCUGCCACUCCCUCUUGCAUUCAGACUCGCUCCACCUACAAACACUUUUAAGGCUCCACUCAGCCCUCUCUCCUCACGGAACCCUUUCUGACUUGCCCAGGGAGCAGCCAUGCCUUCCUCAGAGCCCCUGCCCCAUCGGGCACACACCUCUGUUACAGCACCUGGCACUCCCUGCCCCAUUUGUCAGCUUUCUCACUGGCCUCCCCCCAUCAGACCAAGCUCUUUGAGGGCACAGACUGUCUCUCUUCGCUGUGGAACCCCAACUACCCAGGAGGGAGGCACCGGGAAAGCUUAUUCCUGCUUCGGGGAACACUAUGAAGCUUGCAACUGCUGGCCGAGGGAGCUUCGGGGCCUGAGAAAGCUUGGAAAGAAGGCUAGUGCUGCCAUUGACAGUGACUGCCAGCAGGGCCCGAGUUACUUGGAGGAGACGCAGAUGGCUGUGGGCUAA